UCGACUGUUUACCAAAAACAUAGCCCCUUAACACCAAUAGGGGGUGCAACCUGCUCAAUGGCUGAAAUAAUAAUAAUAAAUACAGUUAAAUAGCCGCGGUAACUCUGACCGUGAUAAAGUAGCAUAAUCACUUGUCACCUAAUUAGUGAAUGGUAUGAAUGGUUAAACGAACCCUAAGCUGUCUCAAUAAGAAACCUUAUAAAAUUGAAAUUGUAGUGAAGAUGCUACAUAAAGAUUGCAAGACGAAAAGACCCUAUUGAGCUUUACUGAAUACUUACAACUUCUACAAAUAGUAAAUAUUACAAACAAUAUACUUUGUAAGUAAGACAGUUUGGUUGGGGCGACCACCUCUAAAAAAGUAACAGAGGAAAUCUAAAGGCUAAUAAUAUGAAUACUAGCUUAACUGAAAUAACAAUAAUUUAUACAGGUACAAAAAGUAGGACAUAAUGACCCGUUAUAAUUUAAUGAAAAUUAUAACGAUUAUAGAAAAAGUUACCAUAGGGAUAACAGGGUAAUAUUUUCUAAGAGUUCUAAUCGACGAAAAUGUUUGCCACCUCGAUGUUGAAUUGUGAUAUCCUAGGGGUGCAGCAGCUCCUAAAGGUUGGUCUGUUCGACCAUUAAAAUCUUACAUGAUUUGAGUUCAUUCCGU
rnacentral:rRNA from 1 species